rnacentral:misc_RNA from 1 species
AACGCACGAGACCUGCGGACCUGCGGAAGGAUCAUUACCGAGUGAGGGCCCUCUGGGUCCAACCUCCCACCCGUGUUUAUCGUACCUUGUUGCUUCGGCGGGCCCGCCUCACGGCCGCCGGGGGGCACCUGCCCCCGGGCCCGCGCCCGCCGAAGACAUCAUUGAACUCUGUCUGAAGAUUGCAGUCUGGGUAGAUUAGCUAAAUCAGUUAAAACUUUCAACAACGGAUCUCUAGAUCGG